AAAAAGUUCUCGCAGCGCGGGGGUGAGUGGAAGCUGUGAUUAAGUAGUGUAAUUGCAACUUAGUCUUGAAAUGGACGCGCUGUGAUAAUCGUUUUCAACCCAGCUGUUUCUCGAACUCUCCGGCAUUCCCCCCCAAACCUUAUCAUUCCUCCCUCUCUCUCUCUCUCUCUAUAACCUUCAGAUCUACACUUUGUUAAGGUUUGAAUCCUUCGUUUUACCGGUGUUCGAAGGAAAGUCUUCGUUGCCAUCAGAGAUUGAGCGAAUUUCGGUGCUAAUUUACCAAGAAUUCCAUAAAUUAGGUCAUGGAUUGGUGUUUUUCCACUACAUUUUGGAGCAACUCUCAGCGUUAAGAUUUUGUUGAUUUUACACAAAAAACUCAACCGAAGGUGAACGGAGACUACUGAGAAGACGAACUCGCCGCUGCUAUCAAAGAUCCUAAAUUUCAGUAUACAGAAGAGUCUGGAUGAACUUGUAGAUGAAGCUGGCGUGCUUCGUUAAAUGCAGGGGAAGUUCGAGAAUAAGAUGAGGAUGCCUAAAGGCUGACAAGAAGCCAACCAUUACAGUCUUCAGCUUCCCUCCAGAUAAAGGAAACGUUGGAACUGCUGCAUACCUUAAUGUGUUUGCCUCCAUUUUCGCCGUCCUAUCAGACCUCAAAAAGGAUGGUUACAGUAUUGAUGGGCUCCCAAAGAGUGAUUAAUAGACCUUUCUCUUGGUUGGUUAUAAUUAGGUUUUCAAUUCUUGAAUAAAAAGUAUGGCAAUUUGUUUUCCUAGAGGUUGGUUCUAGAAUUAUUGUUGAUGUCAUAGCAGUGGUGAGUAAAUGAAUGCCUCUAGUCACUGAAUAUUUACCUAAACUCUUUAAUAAGCAUCUACAAGAAACAUAAAUCGUGUUAGAAUAUCAAUACCACAAAUAUACUUCUGUCUGGUUAUUUGGAAUUCACACAAUUCGUAUUUGUUUGAUUUUCGUAUAUUUAAAUCACCUGUGAUGAGAUUUUCUUUGACCCGUGCAAUUGGGUUAUUUUGUUCUCCAACUUUUGGUUCUUUGAGAUCUGUUUCUUAUUUUAUUGUCAAGUUCCGUUCAAAUGGUUUGUUUCAUCUUCUAAAACAGUUUUUAAUGGAGUUGAUGAUCCAACGGCGAGUUAAUUGAUACAAACUGUAACAAAUAAUCCCAAUUUGUAAUACACAACUAUAUAAUUCUGUUUUCUUGAUAGGUUCCACUCCCUUUGACUUUCCAUGUGUCUUGUAAUUAUCUUUUGUUUUGGGUAGAGUUUGCUAGCUGUUUAUUCAUUUGACUUGUUACAUUUUUCUUAUUUGGCGUCUUUGGCACUUUUAUGAUUAUAUCCAUUUCAAUGUUAGCUUUUAGUCUGCUGAACAUUAUGUCUGUUGUUCUGUAGCCGGCAUCUUAAUGGGACCUGCAGAUAAUGCCCUCUAUACAAUAUAUUCCUGUUUAACUGUCAAUUAGAGAUUGAUAAUCUUGCAUCGUGUCCCCAUUAUUCCAAUGAAGAUGGUGUACUUCUCCCUACUUUGGGAGUUCAUAUCUAACAUAUAGACCCUUUGGUUUAGUGGAUUAACUUGGUUUCUUGUCAUGUUACUAACUGGAAUAUAGGAUUCAGGUAUGAAUUUGUUGUGUGUCAUACUGUCAAUGCUUUGGAUAGAUGUUGAACAAUAGGCUGCUAGCCUGCAACUGAUUCACCCUUCACUACAGAUGAUGUAUUUCUUGGUUGAGAAAGGGGGUUAUGAAGGUGGUGUAUAUUAACUUUAUUUUUUUGCAUUUCUUAGGGAUGGUCUUGCUUUUGGAGGGCUAGGUUUCGCUCCUUCCCCAACAUCAGGGAUCAGGCCAGCGGCAGCUUCUAAUCCCAAUAUUCCUGGUCCUAUUGGUGGUCAGGGAUCACCAAAUGCAUGGCAGCCUAUGAGUCCGCAGAAUCUGGGUCCAUCUCCUAGUGCUGGUAUCCAUGGGUUUGGCAAUCAGUUUCCUUCCUAGGUCUGGUGACACAGCAAUUUCAUCAACUCCUAUGCCUGGGAGACCGUCACAAUUCUCUAAUAAUAAUAACUACAGCCAGCAAGGCUACCGUCCUCGUGUGCCAAGCUACUGCUGCAGCUAGCGCUGCAACUUAUGGGUAUCAGGGUCAAGUAGAUCCAUCAGCUUAUGCUGCAGCGGCUGGACAACAAGCUUAUAGUGUUGCACCUGCUGGGACACAACAAGGCUAUGCUCAGCCAGCUCCAACACAACCUGGUUAUGACUAGUCAGCAGCGGCUCCUCAAUCUGGUAGAUAUGCUACUGCUCCUACUGGUGCACCUGGUGCUUAUGGAAAAACCUUAUCUCCCCAGCCUCAACCUGGUUAUCCACCGAAUGAUGCAUCCCAGCAAGCGUACGCUGCACCACGAUAAUUUGAUUCAGAUAACAACAUACUGUUUACUAUCAUCCGCUUCUUCGGCGAUUCCUAUUACAAACAUAAUGCGGGAGGGAGCAGACAACAUUUUCACAGAUUCAUCAGCAGCAGCCAUAAGCAUGUCUCUCCUGGCUUUCAUUUCAUUGGUUGCCAUUUUGUGUUUAUUGAUUUAGUCAGGUACUGAGUAUUGUUCAUAUGAUUGUUUUAAUUAGGAUAGGAAUGUUGAUGUAAUAUGUAGAUUGAUUGAAUAUCAAUUGUUGGUUUGGCUUAGAAUGUGAUGGUGGCUUGGUGUUUAUUGCUAUAAUCAGGUGGUGGGUGUAUUGCAUUUGGUUAUUUCACUCGGGAUUAUUCUGCCAAUGGAUUGUUCAUCUGAUUCUUUUUUUUGUAAAAUAAAUAUACUAUUUUCAACGCGUACUCUUGAGUGGA